GAUGAACGCUAGCGGCAGGCUUAAUACAUGCAAGUCGAACGGAGACUGUAGCAAUACUGUCUUAGUGGCGAACGGGUGAGUAACGCGUUGGUGACCUGCCCCGAAGAGGGGGAUAACAGUCCGAAAGGAUUGCUAAUACCCCAUGUGGUCGUUUGGAUUAGAUGCCUUACGACUAAACGGAUUUAUUCGCUUCGGGAGGGGCCUGCGUCCCAUCAGCUAGUUGGUAGGGUAAUAGCCUACCAAGGCGAUGACGGGUAGGGGACCUGAGAGGGUGGCCCCCCACAAUGGAACUGAAACACGGUCCAUACACCUACGGGUGGCAGCAGUAGGGAAUAUUGGUAAUCUGGGAAACCGGGAACCAGCAACGCCGCGUGCGCGAUGAAGGCCUUCGGGUUGUAAAGCGCUUUUUAAAGGGAUGAGGAAGGACAGUACCUUUAGAAUAAGCCUCGGCUAACUACGUG
rnacentral:rRNA from 1 species